GCCGGCGUGGCGGAAUGGUAUACGCGGUGGUCUCAAAAACCACUGCCCUCACGGGCUUGGGGGUUCGAGUCCCCCCACCGGCACCA
rnacentral:tRNA from 1 species